AGUGAACGCUGGCGGUAGGCCUAACACAUGCAAGUCGAACGGCAGCACAGUAAGAGCUUGCUCUUACGGGUGGCGAGUGGCGGACGGGUGAGGAAUACAUCGGAAUCUACUUUUUCGUGGGGGAUAACGUAGGGAAACUUACGCUAAUACCGCAUACGACCUACGGGUGAAAGCAGGGGAUCUUCGGACCUUGCGCGAUUGAAUGAGCCGAUGUCGGAUUAGCUAGUUGGCGGGGUAAAGGCCCACCAAGGCGACGAUCCGUAGCUGGUCUGAGAGGAUGAUCAGCCACACUGGAACUGGGACACGGUCCAGACUCCUACGGGAGGCAGCAGUGGGGAAUAUUGGACAAUGGGCGCAAGCCUGAUCCAGCCAUACCGUGUGGGUGAAGAAGGCCUUCGGGUUGUAAAGCCCUUUUGUUGGGAAAGAAAAGCAGCAGGUUAAUACCCCGCUGUUCUGACGGUACCCAAAGAAUAAGCACCGGCUAACUUCGUG
rnacentral:rRNA from 1 species